rnacentral:lncRNA from 1 species
CGGCGCCCAGGCCGUCCUGGCCAGCACGCGGCGGCGCCCCCUCCCCUCGCGCCGCGGGCCUCCCCGCGCCGUGCACGUCCCCGUCCCGCGCCUCCGCCUCCACCCUCACUCGCUUCUUCCCGCCCUCCCCGUAGCGCUGGCCGAGCCGGCUUCCCCUCCGUCUUUCAUGAAUAUUGAGCGGCCCCUGUUGUAUUUCCCGAGCUCCAUUGCGGAAGCCAAGGCUCGCCAUAUUGUGCGGCGGCGCCGGCGGCCGCGGCGGCUGAUACCUGAGUCUCGCUCCGGCCGCGGCCAGCGGAGCCCCGGGCUGGGGUAGGAGCCGGUGAGUGGGGCGGGCGGCGAGGCGAAGGGCGCGGGAGCGGCGGGCUGGGACGCGCGUCCGCUCGGCCGGGUGCCGGCGCUUGACGGCAACACGUAUCUUUUUAACAAUCAAAAGUUAACACUAGAGCAAUGAGGUUUGCCAGUUCUUUUGGAAAUAGGGAAGGGUUAAAUUCCAGACUCUAGCACUAGCCAGGGAGGGGCAUGACCUGGGGCAUAUAUUGUAUUUUUCUGAUUUCCUUUUCCUUAACUGUAUAAAGAAAGGUAGCAUUAAUUGCUCCAAGUGUACACCAUAUCAGACACUGAAACUGUCUAAUUCUUUACAUAAUUUCAGGUAGGAGUAACAAAGAUUUUAUCUAGAGAUCAGAGAAAAGAUCUCUAGAUAAAUUGCAGUGACUAUAGCAGUCUGUCACCAACUUUUCUUUCAGUAGAAACACUUCAUUCAGAGGUAUUUAUUAAAUUUCAUGUCCUCAGUAUAGUAACUAAACUGCUACAGUAAUCUACAAAGUUCUCAUUGUCUCUACCUCCUCCUACCACAUGUCAUGUCCCAAGCCAGGUACAGCUAUAUUUCUAAACUCCUUACCAUCAGCUUGAAAAUCUAUGUAGAGAGCAAUAUUUUUUAAAGUGUUGUUAGGGUAGAGAGAGAAGAGAGACUAAUGUUUUCUGUUGCUAUAAUUGAGUACCACAGAGUGGGAAAUUUAUUAAGAAUAUAGAUUCUUUAGCUCACAGUUCUGGGGGCUGAGAAAUCCAAGUUCUGGAAGCAUGGUGCUAGCCUGAUAAGGGGCCUCUUGCUGCAUUUUAACAUGGCAGAGGGAAGCAGGGCACACAUGCCAGUAAUCCCAGUGACUCAGGAAGCUGAGACAGGAUUGUGGGUUCAAAGCCAGCCUCAGCAACUCUGCAAGGCCCUAAGCAGCUUAGUGAGAACUUGUCUCACCAAAAAACAAACAAACAAACAACAACAACAACAAAAAAAAAACCACAACUAUGGAUGUGGCUCAGUGGUUAAGCAUCCUGGGUUCAAUCCCUGGUACAAAAAAAAGUGGCAGAGGACAUCAUAUGGCCUGAUAGCUCAGAUAUCUUCAUCUUAUAAAAUCCUCAUCUAAUCUGAAUUACCUACCAAAGGUGCAUCCUCAAAUAACAUUGGCAUAUGAAUUUAGGGAUUAAGUUUCCAACACAGGAAAUUUUAGAGGACACAUUCAAACAGAGCAGAGAAGAAUGUCCUCUUUUAUUUUUAAAGCAGUGAACUAGAAAGUGACUACUGCAAAUAAAAGGGAGAGAUUGAUUACAUAAACAAAGCAAACCCUAACUAUAUGCUGCCUACAGGGAACCCACUUUACAUAUAACAUACAAAUAAAAGUACAAGGAUGGAAAAAGAUAUAUCAUGUUAGUGCCAAUCAAAAGAAAGCUAGCAUGGCUGUGUGUAUAUAUAGGACACAGCAGUUUUCAGAUCAAAAAUUUAUUACAAGGAUAUGGAACCCAGAUGCUGAACAGGAAAGGUAGUGGCAGGGCUAACAAUAGCACCUUCAGGGACAGCCAGCCAGACCUGCAGACCUAACGGAGCUCUUUCAUCUGUUCUCAAGGACAUGUUGGUGGACACAUUUUAGUCUGAAACUUGGGGAGUAAUAGUGAUGACUUAGACCUUGGACCUUCUCUGAGGACUACACCAUGGAAACAUGGAAGAUAUGGGGCUCCUAGUUGGUCUGAAUCAAUGCAGGGAGACCUUCCAUAAUAAAUAUGAGUGUUUGGGGCUGGGAUUGUGGCUCGGUUGUAGAGCACUCACCUAGCACGUGUGAGGCCCUGGGUUCGAUCCUCAGCACCACAUAAAAAAUUAAAAUAAAGAUACUGUGUCCAACUACAACUAAAAAAGAAAUUUAAAAUAAAGCAAUAUGAGUGUUUAAUGUGAAUGUCAAGGGAAAUAUCAGCAUAAUAAACUGCCUGCCUCCAGAUUUGGCUAUAGAUAUCUUUUUUUUUACCCAUAUGUUUUUCAUUUCUUGAUCAUUUAUCAUCUUUUAAGAUAUGCAUUUAUAAUAUGUGACAUGAAAUAAUUUAAUAAGGGGAUAGAUUAUCUCAUAACAGAAAAUCUGGAGGCAAAAAGGCCCCGGGGUUGGUUAUGUCAGUUCCCUGGAUUCUUCUCAUCUUUCUAGUCUGCCUGUGGCUCUUCAGGUUAGAUAAAUAAUAAAAUUAUAGCAACAGCUCCAGGCAUCUUAUCCUAAUAUGAACCAAUGUUAAGAAAUUGAAUUGACCUAUUUCUUCCCAAGUAGGUCUCAUUUCUAGAGCUAAGAAACCUUUCCUAAAACCAUCUAGAAGACUUCCUCUCACACCUUAUUGUCCCAAUCUAGGUCACAUACCUGCCUCUAAAUUCAUCACUGGCAAGGGGAGUCAGACCUGUAUGAUUAACUUCAAGCUGUCUGGAUUGACCCAAGUCACACUGCAGUAAGAAAAGGAAUAAAGAUAUUUAGAAAGGAGAUAAGAAAUAAGGAAAAAAAACUAUAAUUGUAUAUCUGAAAGCUCUAUGGUCAGAUUUACUCCCCAAACCUGUAUUUUUUCCUCCAGAAAAGAAAUUUCUGAGAAAUCUACAAAUCUUAGGGUUACUAUAAAUUCACUCAUCUGUGAAAACUGCCCCAUUCUGAUUAAAGCUGAAGGUCACUACACAAUGUAUUUUCAGAUUAGAUAAAACAAAGGUGGGUAUAUUUUAAGGCACAUCCCACAUGUUGUCUAAAUAAGAGACAAUAUCAAACUGAAGAUCCUGGAAGAAGCCAAGACUACCAUGAACAUCUUGCAAUCCAUGAUCAAAGUACUGAAUUCACCAGACUGAAGUCAUUUCUAUAUACCUUCCCAUGCCUACUCCUACAAAGUUUCCUGUAAAAGAAGAACCUGGGAUCCCCAAAGCACUUCUUGCUCUUGAGAUAGUCUGCACUCUGCUAUAAGAAUGUGUGUCUUUCCCUUUCCCUUUCAAAUAAAGCUCUUCCUCUUUACUAAAACCUGAUGUAUCCUUCAAUACUUUUAGGUGAUGUGUCAAGAACCUAGAAGGUCAGAAUAGGCAUCUCUGCCCCUGGAUAGACCUCUUUGUACCCCCUUAUGGUGACAACAUGAUGAGGGGGUGGUCAUUGAAAAGUGUUUACUUACUAUGAAAGAGAGUAAAAUCACUUUUAUGCAGGUUUUAAUAUUUACUUGUGAGGUGUUUCCCCUAAAAGCUCAUGAGAAAAACAAUGCAUGAAUUUUCAGAGGUGAAAUGAUUAGAUUAUGAUUGUGACCUAACCAGUUAAUUAGUUGAAUUAAUCAACUAAUAUGGAUUAACUGAAUAUUAACUGUAGGCAGGUAGGGUGUGACUAGAGGAGGUAGGUCACUGGGAAAUGCCUCUGUGGGGUUACAUUUAUCCUUGGAGUCCUUUCUUUCUGCUCCCUAGUUUAUAUGUCCUGAGAAGCUUUCCUCCAACAUGCCCUUAUGCCAUGAUGUCCUGCUUCAUGUUGGGCCCAAAGCUAUGGAUUCAGCUGACCAUGAACUGAACCUCUGAAACCAUGAGCCAAAAUAAACUUUCUCCUCUAUGUUCUUGUCAGGUCUUUGGUCUCAAUAAUGAAAAGCUAACUAAAAUAUAAGUUGGUACCAAGAAGUGCGGUCAUUGCUAUGACUAACCUGACCAUGUGUUUGAGAAGACUUUGGAACUGGUUUGCAGGUGGGGGAACUUAGAAACAUUUUGAGAUGCAAGCUAGAGAUGCUGAUUUUCCAUGCUCCUUAAAUUAUCUGUAAGCACCCAAUUAAUUUAUUGCAACUAUUCAAAAUAGAAAAACUUCAGAAACAUAUUGUGUGUGUGUUUUUCUGUACAACAGGAUGCAGAAUACAAAAAUAUUCUUUGUGAUUUAACAAAAUAGACAGUAAUGACCCCAUCCUGUUCUGGGUAAUAAAGAAACUCCCUCAGGAGUUAGUGAACUGUGUAGAGUUGUUUAUCAUUGUCUCAUAAAUGGCCCCAGAUGCGUAUUCCAGGCUCUUGCAUUUGCUAGGCAAUUUUUGUUUUUCUUCCCUUCCUAAGGGUUCUUGCCACCAGCAGGACAUGUGCCUGUAGCAGUCUGCCUCUGCUUCAUAGCUGAUGCUUUCAGCACACUGUGAGCUGGGACCAGGCAGCAAGGUUUACUAGAACUGUCAGAGUCAACAGUGGCAGAACAAGUUUCCCGUAG